rnacentral:lncRNA from 1 species
CUUCCCCUGAUUCCCCAUUGGCCCGCGCGUGCAGUUUGAAUUUUUUUUUUGUUGUUUUGUUUUUGGUUGCUUGUUUUCUUGUUAAAAAAAAAAAAAAAAAACAGUACCGUAGAUCAUGUGAUGAGACUUACUUGGGCAGCCUGAGGUAGGGUGCUUUAGCUGGUUUGGUUGAAGGCGGUAGGGAGCAGGAUGGGCGGAGCUUUCUGUUCCAAAAGUUACACCCCCCCACCCCCCCGCCCCGCAAGUGCCGUUGACAGAGUGCAGGCGGGAAGCUUCGGCUGGGGUAGAGAUGUAGCAUCAAACAUUCAUGGAUGUCCAGGGAGCGCGGGCCCAUAGGAUGCUGGCCAGAGGUACUAGGAAGGCGCAGGAGCCGGACGAGGAUGCAUCUUCUUUCCCUGCCUUGGAAAGGGGCUGUUCACAAUGUAUGCUGGACCAUGGUGAGUCCUGAGGUGGUCACAACAGAAGCUUGCCUUGGGCCCAUCUGUCUCCUGCUGCUGUCCACAAGAUGGAGAAGGCGGAAGCAACCUGAGGAGGCCUCUUUGUCUAAUCUGUCACCAUCAGCGGGAGCCAUGCUUGCUGUGUUUUUAUGGACUGCCUGUCCUCUCCACUCUUUGCUUUGUGCCCACACCCAGCAGCUCUGGAGAUCCCUCCUCAGCUUCGGCCUGCAUUGUGGACCUGGAUGAGUUGGAAGUCUAGUUUUAGGCAACGCCUGUCUCAACUCAAGAUUCACAUUUCUGGUUUCUCUCUGCCACUAUCAGAACUCCUGAGUGGCCCUGACAUUGCCUUUUUUUUCUCCACUGGGUUCUGGCCUGCCUGGAAUUUCAUUUUAGACCUUCAUGACAUGCGUUAAAACCAUGCACUGCCAACACCUCUUCUUGUCUGUAAGCAGAAUUCAAGCAUUGUACCACGUGCUCACUAGAGCGCCUUUGUUAAAUUAAGUAGGGUCAUUGGCAUCGAGGGGAAAUAAAAUGCCGAGAGGAGGCCA